rnacentral:lncRNA from 1 species
UUGCUCUCUGUCUCUGUCUCUGCUCCUCCUUAAUUAUAAAUCCUAUCUUUCUCUAUUCACUUCGAUCUCUCUCUCGUCUCUCUGUAUCAUAAUAAUUAGCUAGCUAGCUCCCACCGCAAUGGCUGUAAAUCCACAACAAGAUCAAGCUGCUCCAUCAUCCAUCCCCAGUUUCCAGCCAAACGAUCACCUUCCCUCCAAAGACUACUACGUCGACGGUCUAGAUGACGAAAUGGGUGCGCCCUUCUCCCCGUCCUUCUGUCUCUGCUUCCCAGCCCACUGCUUCAGCCGCCGACGAACCACCAAAGCCGGCUCCCGUACUUAUUUUUUGCAAACCGAUCAAGAAGAUUGUUCCGAAGAAGAUCAAGAUGGGCUGCGUUGGUAUUCCGGCGGGCGGCGGUGGGUGGUGGAGAAGCUGAAGAAGGCGAGAGAAAUAUCCGAGUUGGUUGCGGGCCCCAAGUGGAAAAAUUUCAUUCGAAGAUUUAGCAGACCAGCCUUUGGGUCUUCGAAUUCUAAGAAGAGGACCAAGUUUCAAUACGACCCUCAGAGCUACGCGCUUAACUUCGAUGACGGCGAUGCCACCGACGACUGCGGAUACCCGGAUUUCUCGGCCAGAUUCUCCGCUCCUGGGCAGUCUUGAAACCUGUGUAUCUGUUUACCAUUAUUCUUUUCUAUUGAGCUGUAAUUAUAUUGUCUAUAAUUAGAAUUGAAGUUUGAUGAACAUGCAUGAAUCUCCAAUACUCAUUCUUUGAAUUGGGUUGUUGUCAAAGUGACUGAUUUGUUAUUCGUGGCUCUAAAAUUCGGAAAUAUCACCUUAAAAGUACACAAUAAUUACCUUUGGCAAUUUCUCUUUAAGAAUGGAAACCUUACCCAAUUAUAAUUAUUAUCCAAGUAGCUAAUUAAUCUCACCUAAAAUUAAAAUCAUGAGCUGUGUUGAUUAGGAUUUAGGAAACGCGUAUCAAUAUAAUUUUAGUGAUGAAAAAAAUAGCUGGAAAAGCAAAGAGAUGGAAUAUAUAAAUUGUCAAUAUCUUUUGGGUUAUCUAAUUAAUAGAAUAUAUGUACAGUUAGUUCAUCGGCCAGGACAGCCAAUAAGGAAACAAAAUAUGAGCAGUNCUAGCUCCCACAACAAUGGCUGUAAAUCCACAGCAAGAUCAAGCUGCUGCAUCCUUCGUCCCCAGUUCCCGACCACACGAUCACCUUCCCUCCAAAGACUACGACGUCGUCGACGGUCUAGAUGACGAACUCG